rnacentral:tRNA from 1 species
GAGGGUAUAGCUCAAGUGGUUGAACGUGUGCUUAGCAUGCACAAGGUCUUGGGUUCAAUCCCCAGUACCUCCA